rnacentral:rRNA from 1 species
AGCGAACGCUGGCGGCAGGCCUAACACAUGCAAGUCGAACGAACUCUUCGGAGUUAGUGGCGGACGGGUGAGUAACACGUGGGAACGUGCCUUUAGGUUCGGAAUAACUCAGGGAAACUUGUGCUAAUACCGAAUGUGCCCUUCGGGGGAAAGAUUUAUCGCCUUUAGAGCGGCCCGCGUCUGAUUAGCUAGUUGGUGAGGUAAAGGCUCACCAAGGCGACGAUCAGUAGCUGGUCUGAGAGGAUGAUCAGACACAUUGGGACUGAGACACGGCCCAAACUCCUACGGGAGGCAGCAGUGGGGAAUCUUGCGCAAUGGGCGAAAGCCUGACGCAGCCAUGCCGCGUGAAUGAUGAAGGUCUUAGGAUUGUAAAAUUCUUUCACCGAGGACGAUAAUGACGGUACCCGGAGAAGAAGCCCCGGCUAACUUCGUG